rnacentral:rRNA from 1 species
AGAGUUUGAUCCUGGCUCAGAUUGAACGCUGGCGGCAUGCCUUACACAUACAAGUCGAACGGUAACAGGUCUUCGGAUGCUGACGAGUGGCGAACGGGUGAGUAAUACAUCGGAACGUGCCCGAGAGUGGGGGAUAACGAGGCGAAAGCUUUGCUAAUACCGCAUACGAUCUCAGGAUGAAAGCAGGGGACCGCAAGGCCUUGCGCUCACGGAGCGGCCGAUGGCAGAUUAGGUAGUUGGUGGGAUAAAAGCUUACCAAGCCGACAAUCUGUAGCUGGUCUGAGAGGACGACCAGCCACACUGGGACUGAGACACGGCCCAGACUCCUACGGGAGGCAGCAGUGGGGAAUUUUGGACAAUGGGCGCAAGCCUGAUCCAGCCAUGCCGCGUGCAGGAUGAAGGCCUUCGGGUUGUAAACUGCUUUUGUACGGAACGAAAAGACUCUGGUUAAUACCUGGGGUCCAUGACGGUACCGUAAGAAUAAGCACCGGCUAACUACGUGCCAGCAGCCGCGGUAAUACGUAGGGUGCGAGCGUUAAUCGGAAUUACUGGGCGUAAAGCGUGCGCACGCGGUUAUGUAAGACAGAUGUGAAAUCCCCGGGCUCAACCUGGGAACUGCAUUUGUGACUGCAUAGCUAGAGUACGGCAGAGGGGGAUGGAAUUCCGCGUGUAGCAGUGAAAUGCGUAGAUAUGCGGAGGAACACCGAUGGCGAAGGCAAUCCCCUGGGCCUGUACUGACGCUCAUGCACGAAAGCGUGGGGAGCAAACAGGAUUAUAUACCCUGUAGUCCACGCCCUAAACGAUGUCAACUGGUUGUUGGGUCUUCACUGACUCACAACGAAGCUAACGCGUGAAGUUGACCGCCUGGGGAGUACGCCGCAAGGUUGAAACUCAAGGAAUUGACGG